ensembl:lncRNA
GUGGGGCAGGAACGAGAGAUGAGGGGGUCGGGAAGGAGAGAAAUAUAGAGCAAGAAAGAGAGGUCAUGAGCCCAUGGGCCCCUGAGUUCUUCAAAAAUUAAAUUUUGAAUUAAAGUUAUAAACUUGGAUUUUGUCACAAGGAUUUAUACAGGAUACUAACCUCCACAUCAAAACCUUCAAUCCAAAUCGAAAUUCCAUACGUAAAACCUUGAUUUUGGACAAAAUUAACUGAAUGGAUUAUUACUAAAAAAGACUAUCAAGAAAAAAACUUCCAACAAACCAAAAUCUGCAGAAGAAACACAGUGGAACCUGGAAAUACCAUCCAACACAAAACUGAGUUUCCCCCGGAGCACUUUAGGAAGAAACUCGACGUCAGGAAAACCAACGCUCCCGGGAGAGAUGGUGACAUUUACAAGGUUGAUUGGAGGUUUUGUCACGCCUGCUUUGACAGACUGGCCAGAGCUCAGGUUCUCAUCCACAUCACAAUGGAUGUUUUCAUUAGCCAAACAUCUUGGGAAGAAUCUUCGGGCGAAUCCAGGCCUGACACUGGUCUGCCGCCGACAGAGAUGAACUGGCGCCGACAGCAUCAAAGCUGGGACCGAGAGACUGAAAAACAGCUUCUAUCUCAAGGCCAUCAGACUGUUAAACAGCCACCACUAACAUUGAGUGGCUACUGCCAACACACUGUCAAUGACACUGACUCUACUCCAGCCACUUUAAUCAUGGGAAUUGAUGGGAAAUGAUGUAAAUAUAUCACUAGCCACUUUAAACAAUGCUACCUUAUAUAAUGUUACUUACCCUACAUUGUUCAUCUCAUAUGCAUACGUUGAUACUGUACUCUAUAUCAUCGACUGCAUCCUGAUGUAAUACAUGUAUCACUAGCCACUUUAACUAUGCCACUUGGUUUACAUACUUAUCUCAUAUGUAUAUACUGUACUCGAUAUCAUCUACUGUAUCUUGCCUAUGCUGCUCUGUACCAUCACUCAUUCAUAUAUCCUUAUGUACAUAUUCUUUAUCCCCUUACACUGUGUAUAAGACAGUAGUUUUUUUUGGAAUUGUUAGUUAGAUUACUUGCUCGUUAUUACUGCAUUGUCGGAACUAGAA